CAAUGAAGAAAGAAUGAUAAUGUGCACAUAAAUUGAUUUGGAUUUCUAAGUAUGUCUUCUUUGAUACCAUUUGAUUUUGAUUUAGGAGCAUGGUUCCGGAGUAAAAUA